rnacentral:rRNA from 1 species
UGGGGAAUUUUGGACAAUGGGCGCAAGCCUGAUCCAGCCAUGCCGCGUGAGUGAAGAAGGCCUUCGGGUUGUAAAGCUCUUUCGGCGGGGAAGAAAUUGCUUAGGUUAAUACCUUGAGUAGAUGACGGUACCCGCAUAAGAAGCACCGGCUAACUACGUGCCAGCAGCCGCGGUAAUACGUAGGGUGCGAGCGUUAAUCGGAAUUACUGGGCGUAAAGCGUGCGCAGGCGGUUUUGUAAGUCAGAUGUGAAAUCCCCGGGCUCAACCUGGGAACUGCAUUUGAGACUGCACGGCUAGAGUGUGGCAGAGGGGGGUAGAAUUCCACGUGUAGCAGUGAAAUGCGUAGAGAUGUGGAGGAAUACCGAUGGCGAAGGCAGCCCCCUGGGCCCUUACUGACGCUCAUGCACGAAAGCGUGGGGAGCAAACA